rnacentral:rRNA from 1 species
GAUGAACGCUGGCGGCGUGCCUAAUACAUGCAAGUCGAGCGAACAGACGAGGAGCUUGCUCCUCUGACGUUAGCGGCGGACGGGUGAGUAACACGUGGAUAACCUACCUAUAAGACUGGGAUAACUUCGGGAAACCGGAGCUAAUACCGGAUAAUAUAUUGAACCGCAUGGUUCAAUAGUGAAAGACGGUUUUGCUGUCACUUAUAGAUGGAUCCUCGCCGCAUUAGCUAGUUGGUAAGGUAACGGCUUACCAAGGCAACGAUGCGUAGCCGACCUGAGAGGGUGAUCGGCCACACUGGAACUGAGACACGGUCCAGACUCCUACGGGAGGCAGCAGUAGGGAAUAUUCCGCAAUGGGCGAAAGCCUGACGGAGCAACGCCGCGUGAGUGAUGAAGGUCUUCGGAUCGUAAAACUCUGUUAGUAGGGAAGAACAAAUGUGUAAGUAACUAUGCACGUCUUGACGGUACCUAAUCAGAAAGCCACGGCUAACUACGUG